UAUGGGUAUCCACUCGGGAUCAGCCUGGAACAGUCCUCUUAAAAUUAAUUUUUUUUCAAAAAAAAUUAGCCUACAAAUCUGAACAAAGCCUGAAUCACGAUCAAUUCUUUGAUUCUUUUUUUGAUCUUCUUUUUCUCUUCUUCUCUUGCUUUUCUUCCUUAGAUUAUGCUACUACUACAGAGUAGAAACCAGCAUAAGAGGUGAUGCCCAACAGCC
rnacentral:lncRNA from 1 species